GUCUCUCCCUCAAAGACUUUUCCUCGCACUUUCUCUCCGAUUUUCACGCCGAUUUUCUCUCGGCAGUCCGAAUUUUCUCGGCCCCGCACGAAACUUUCUCGCCUCGAUACCAGCUGCGCGAGAAUCCAAUCCGAUCCAAUCCGACGAUGAAGAAAUCCGGAGUCCUGGCGGCCUCGGUCGCGGCGGCCUCUGCCACUGCGAUCACGGCCUCUUCUUCGUCGCCGUCGCCGUCGCCGGCGUCGUCCACCAACUUCAGCUGCAGCUCCAACUUCCAGUUCUCCCGCCAGGGCGACGGCGAGAGGAGGGAUCGAGACGAUGGCGCGAAGCCGAAGCCGGCUUCGGCGGACAAGUUCGCUCCGAAGUUCGACGGGUUGAGGUUCAUCGAGACGCUGGUCACUGCUCACAGAUGAUGCGGAGUGGUCCCCCCGCUCUUCCGAAGGAGCGAGGGAGCACGAAGAAAGCUUUGGUUUUUUCUCUCUCUUCUGUUCCUUCUCUUCUGGGUUCGUACGGGUUUGUCUAGGGGAUUAGCAAGAAGCUUCCUUUAUUUGAGGAAACCAGCGCAUGGUUGGGGGGAUUUGUUGUUUGCAGCAGAAGGCAAAAAAGUUUCCUGGGCUGUAACCUAAAGACACUUCCCUUUUUAAGGAAAAAAAAAUUCAUAUUUUUGCAGCUUGCUGUUUAGCUUUCAUUGUACUGAUCUGAGAAUAUACUGAUGAUAUAUCUAAUGAGACAUGAUCCUGCCCUCUGUUAUGUUC